rnacentral:lncRNA from 1 species
GAGGGUGGAGCAGGAGGAGAAGGAUGGGCGGCACAGAGCAAUGAUGGUGCAGCGCUUUGGGGCCGACGUGGGGCGGCUGCGGCUGGGAGGCACGCGGUUCCUGGUGGAGGCUGCGGCGCUGGAGGAGGAGCUGAGGGCGGAGCUCUCUCGUGUGAGAUCAGCGGAGGGGGCGGGGCUUCCGACGGCCACGCCCACAAUCUGACCACGCCCCAUCCGCAAGGCCACGCCCACACCAAAAGCCACGCCCAGCUAUUUUGCAUUAAAGGCACCGCGUGCCCAAAAAUGUCUCCAAUGUCCCCAGUGUCUCCAUUGUCUCCUCCGCCCCCACCUCCUCCCCCCCCACCUCGCAGAGGCCCCGCAGUGUCACAUUC